GUUAAAGAAGAAGGAGGUAUUUUCCAUCAGAGGAACAGCUUUACUAUGUCCUUCUCCAGCUUGCUGAAGGCAGUCAUGGUUUCCAUAUGGCUAGGAUCCAGUGUUGCCCAGAAGGUGACUCAAACCCAACCAGCAAUGUUGGUGCAGGAGAAGAAGACUGUGACCCUGAACUGCACAUAUGACACCAGGGACAGUACUUAUAGUCUCUUCUGGUACAAGCAACCAAGCAGUGGAGAGAUGAUUUUUCUCAUUCGUCAGGACUCCUAUAACCAGCAAAAUGCAACAGAAGGUCGCUACUCAGUGAACUUCCAGAAAGCAAGCAAAUCCAUUAACCUUGUCAUCUCAGCUUCACAGUUGGGGGACUCAGCAGUGUAUUUCUGUGCACUGAGGGAGCCCACAGUGAUAGAAGUGCUAGAGAAUGGUGUACAAAAACCCCAGUGCUCUGCUCAAGACACCCAACUGAUUAGGGACAAAGGCAGAUUGCCAUCACAGACAGGAAGUGGCUAG